AAAUUGAAGAGUUUGAUCAUGGCUCAGAUUGAACGCUGGCGGCAGGCCUAACACAUGCAAGUCGAACGGUAGCACAGAGAGCUUGCUCUCGGGUGACGAGUGGCGGACGGGUGAGUAAUGUCUGGGAAACUGCCUGAUGGAGGGGGAUAACUACUGGAAACGGUAGCUAAUACCGCAUAACGUCGCAAGACCAAAG
rnacentral:rRNA from 2 species